UGCGGGAUCGUCUAAUGGCAAGACACUCGGCUCUGGACCGAGUAAUCGGGGUUCGAAUCCCUGUCCCGCAG
rnacentral:tRNA from 4 species